GCCCAGCUAGUUUAGUGGUAGAAUACGUGCUUCCCAAGCACGAGGUUCGGGUUCGAUUCCCGGGCUGGGCA